rnacentral:rRNA from 1 species
GAUGAACGCUGGCGGCGUGCUUAACACAUGCAAGUCGAACGAAGCGCUUAAACGGAUUUCUUCGGAAUGAAGUUUUUUGCGACUGAGUGGCGGACGGGUGAGUAACGCGUGGGUAACCUGCCUCAUACAGGGGGAUAACAGUUAGAAAUGACUGCUAAUACCGCAUAAGCGCACAGUGCUGCAUGGCACAGUGUGAAAAACUCCGGUGGUAUGAGAUGGACCCGCGUCUGAUUAGCUAGUUGGUGGGGUAACGGCCUACCAAGGCGACGAUCAGUAGCCGGUCUGAGAGGAUGAACGGCCACAUUGGGACUGAGACACGGCCCAG